CUGUUCGAUCUUAUCGACUUCCGUUUUCAAAGUCUGCUCCUUUUUCUGUCAUUUUGGGGAGAGAUAGAGAGAAAUGCAGAGAUUGAGAUCUCAACAGCUAAUAGUGAGGCCUCUCGUGGAGAGCAGGCUGCGAGGGUAUUGCACGAGCUCCUCCUCAUCCGAAAAGAUCGUAGCUUCGGUGCUUUUCGAGAGAUUGCGAGUUGUGAUACCAAAACCAGAUCCUAACGUUUACGCUUUUCAGGAGUUCAAAUUCAAUUGGCAGCAGCAGUUUCGCCGUAGAUACCCUGAUGAGUUCUUGGACAUUGCUAAAAACAGAGCCAAGGGUGAAUAUCAAAUGGACUAUGUCCCUGCUCCCAGAGUUACAGAGGCUGACAAGAAUAACGAUAGGAAGUCGUUAUAUAGAGCUCUCGACAAGAAACUCUAUCUUCUGGUCUUCGGCAAGCCAUUUGGAGCUACUAGUGACAAACCUGUCUGGCAUUUCCCUGAAAAAGUCUACGAUUCUGAGCCUACUCUUCGCAAGUGUGCUGAAUCUGCUUUGAAGUCAGUCUUGGGAGACCUAACUCACACGUACUUCGUUGGAAAUGCUCCAAUGGCUCACAUGGCUAUUCAACCUACUGAAGAAACACCUGAUAUGCCAUCUUUCAAGAGGUUCUUCUUCAAAUGCAGUGUAGUGGCAGCAUCGAAAUACAACAUAAGUAACUGCGAAGACUUUGUGUGGGUAACCAAAGAUGAGCUUUUAGAGUUCUUCCCUGAGCAAGCUGAGUUCUUCAACAAGAUGAUCAUUAGCUGAGACUAGUCAACCACACCACCCAAAAACUCCUCUCUCUUUUUUUUUCCUUGUGGUGGUUCUCUUUAGGAUGAUAGAAAACAAUAAAACAUGAACUUUACCAAACCAAACAAUGUUUCUGGUUGAGACAUACACAUGGAUAUUAUGUGUGUGAAGGUCACUGUGAUAAGGUGCCAGUUGAUCGCAAGUACAUUAGUUGAAUGUAGUUGGAUUCUCUCA